AUAGCUCAGUGGCAGAGCAUUUGACUGCAGGUCAUGAGGUCCCUGGUUCAAAUCCAGGU
rfam:Callithrix jacchus chromosome 19, whole genome shotgun sequence